GACGAACGCUGGCGGCGUGCCUAAUACAUGCAAGUAGAACGCAGUUGGGAACGGGUGAGUAACGCGUAGGUGACUGACUCAUAGCGGGGGGUAACUAUUGGAAACGAUAGAUAAUACCGCAUACUGGGAGAUGGACCUGCGUUGUAUUAGCUAGGUGGUGAGGUAAAGGGCCACCAAGGCGACGAUACAUAGCCGCCCUGAGAGGGUGAUCGGUCACACUGGGACCGUGACCCGGCCCAGACUCCUACGGGAGGCAGCAGGAGGGAAUCUUCGGCACUGGACGGAAGCGUGACCGAGGAACGCCGCGUGAGUGGAGAAGGUUUUCGGAUCGGAAAGCUCUGUUGUUAGAGACGCGGUAGCUAACCAGAAAGGGACGGCUAACUACGUGCCAGCCGCCGCGGUAAUAC
rnacentral:rRNA from 1 species